AUGGCAGGUGACACUGAUGCAGCAGGGGGUCCCUGGGAUGGGGAACCACGGUGGCUUCCCUGCAGGUUUCGCCAGUGCCAUUCGGGGCGGGGUCGCUGCCCUGGACCAGGCCGGGCCGAGGCCACGGAGCUCGCAGAGGCAAGGCCGAGGAUAAGGUGUGGAUGCCUAUCACCAAGUUGGGCCACCUGGUCAAGGACAUGAAGAUCAAGUCCCUGGAGGAGAUCUAUCUCUUCUCCCUGCCCAUCAAGGAAUCUGAGAUCAUUGACUUUUUCCUGGGGGACCUCUCUCAAGGACGAGGUUUUGAAGAUUAUGCCGGUGCAGAAGCAGACCUGCUCCGGCCCAGCGCACCAGGUUCAAGGAGUUUGUUGCCAUCGCUGACUAUAAUGGUCAUGUCGGUCUGGGUGUUAAGUGCUCCAAGGAGGUGGCCACUGCCAUCCACAGGGUCAUCAUCCUGGCCAAGCUCUCCAUUGUCCCCGUGCGCAGAGGUUACUGGGGGAACAAGAUCGGCAAGCCCUACACCGUCCCUUGCAAGGCGACAGUCCGCUGCAGCUCUGUGCUGGUGCGCCUCAUCCGCGCACCCAGGGGCACUGGUAUCGUCUCGGCGCCUAUGCCCAAGAAACUGCUCAUGAUGGAUGGUAUCCAUGACUGCUACACCUCAGCCAGGGGCUGCACUGCCACCCUGAGCAACUUUGCCAAGGCCACCUUUGAUGCCUUCUCUAAGACCUACAGCUACCUGACCCCCGACCUCUGGAAGGUGGCUGUAUUCACCAAGUCCCCCUAGCAAGAAUUCCCCGACCACCUCGCCAAGACCCACACCAGAGUCUCUGUGCAGAGGACCCAGGCUCCAGCUGCGGCUACAACAUAG